AAUGAACGCUGGCGGCGUGCUUAACACAUGCAAGUCGCACGAGAACGGUUUGGCUUGCCAGACCAAGUAAAGUGGCGCACGGGUGAGUAACGCGUGGGUAAUCUACCCCUGAAUUUGGGAUAACACUUCGAAAGGAGUGCUAAUACCGGAUAACAUCAUUGGGUCUUCGGGCCUGAUGAUCAAAGAUGGCCUCUACAUGUAAGCUAUUGUUUGGGGAUGAGCCCGCGUACCAUUAGCUAGUUGGUAGGGUAAUGGCCUACCAAGGCGAUGAUGGUUAGCUGGUCUGAGAGGAUGACCAGCCACACUGGCACUGAAACACGGGCCAGACUCCUACGGGAGGCUG
rnacentral:rRNA from 1 species